rnacentral:lncRNA from 1 species
AGCUCCAUUCUUAGUGAGUUUUAAAUUUUUUAGUUGAAUAUUUUAUAUUGGAGAUGGAAGGGAAAGUUAGGUUAUAUCACACAUCACCCAAAAUACUUCAUAAACACUUUUAGUUGACCAUGCUCUUUUCCAUAACAUCUCUUCCCCUGGCUACAUACUGCCUAUGUCUCUCUUCCCCUUCGGUCUCAAUUAUCUUCCCCAGACACCAUAUCUCUCCAAGUUCAUUAAUGUUAGUUCUUUUUCUUCCAUCUUAGCUACAAUUUGCAUCCUCACCACCUUUGACAAUGUAACACCCUUCUUAGAAGGAAGAAGGG